rnacentral:rRNA from 1 species
UAGCCAUGCAUGUCUAAGUACAUGUAGCUUGCCUACGAAACCGCGUAUGGCUCAUUACAACAGCUAUGAUUCUAUUGAUCAUGACACUUUCCUAUAUGGAUAACUGCGGUAAUUCUGGAGCUAAUACAUGCAUAAAAGCGGGGUCACUCGUUGGCACCGUGCACUUAUUAGAACAAAACCAACUUGUUGAUUUUGUUGACUCGGAAUAAUUAUUACGCUGAUUGCAUGGCCUUUGUGCCGGCAAUGUGUCAAAGCUGUGUCUGCCCUAUCACACUUCCAACGGCAGUGUAUUGUCCUGACGUGGUUGUGACGGGUAACGGAGAAUUAGGGUUCGACUCCGGAGAAAUAGCCUGAGAAACGGCUUUUACAUCCAAGGAAGGCAGCAGGCGCGAAAAUUACCCACUCUUAGUACGAGGAGGUAGUGACGAGAAGUGACAAGAUCUGUCCCUUCGGGGGCGGGUCAUUGGAAUGGUUUGAAUUUACAACCUUCCUAGAUUAUCUAUGAGAGGGCAAGUCUGGUGCCAGCAGCCGCGGUAAUUCCAGCUCUCAUACUGCAUUGAAUCGUUGUUGCGGUUAAAAAGCUCGUAGUUGGAUCUGUACACGGUGUCUGUGGACUGCUCCUAGUGGGUGGUUCUGCAGCACGUGUUUAAUGGUCGGUGUGUGGCGGAUCCCUCGGGGUUCGUCGCUGCUGACGAGUUUACUUUGAAUAAAUCAGAGUGCUCAAAACAGGCGUAUGCUUGUAUGGUUUUGCAUGGAAUAAUGGAAUACGACACUGCGUGUGAUUGUUUUUCAUUGGUUUUGCUCACCAGUGUAAUGAUUAAAAGGGACAAACGGGGGCAUUCGUAUCGUCGGGCGAGAGGUGAAAUUCGUGGACCCUGGCGAGACGUACUACAGCGAAAGCAUUUGCCAAGAAUG